rnacentral:tRNA from 1 species
GAAGCCGUGCCUGAAUAAAGGGCCACCUUGAUGAGGUGGAUUACGGGGGUUAAAAUCCCCCCAGCUUCU